rnacentral:lncRNA from 1 species
AAAUACUAAUAAUCUCAAAACAAACGAGAAUGCAUGCAAAUUCUUCCAUCUGACAACUUUACCCUCAAAAGUUACCCGAUCACAUCAAAUGUGUCAUUCUAAGUUGGAAACAGCAGGGGAAAAUAGGAAAAGUAUAUGAUUUUCGAUUGAAAAGGCAAGUUUAAUAUCAUCUGAUCCAUGACUGCUAAAGUCAAAAGGAGGUUAUUCUUUGACACAAAAUAGGGCACACAAAGUGAACUUGGUACGCGGUACACAAGUGCCAGAAAAUUUAUUUAAAAAAAACAUUACUCAACUUUAAUCUACAUCUCAAGAUGGGACUGGCAAUAUGCAUGGUUCUAAAACCCCAUAACUAGAACCUCCUAAAAGCUAUCAAUCAAGAAUUGCAAAGCCUGGGGAAAACAAAUACUGCUUUAUCUGUUUUUUCAGAAGUGCUGCACUGUUUUGACAUUUUCUACCAUCGACAGUGUCUUUACAUUAUAUCAAGCACAAUUGAUUCUUAAUGAUCUUCAUUGUUUUGGAUAAGUAAAUUCAACGAUCUCU